UCACAGCUGACAAUAUCAGCAACCUUAGAUAAUUAAUUUGUGUUCUGUGAUCACCAUCGUAAUGGGUAUCAUUCAGUAUGUGAAAUGAGUCCAGGUGCUCACUGGAAAAUAUGAGUGCAUCACAGAAGGUACUUCCAAUUGUACCAGUUACAGGGCUUCUUCCCAUUCCACUUGCAUAUGGUGUACAGGAAGAAUGUUUAAAUGCCUCUGUGUACUCUUUAAUUAAUGUAAUCGCAGUAAACAUGAAAAGUGACAAGGGGGAAAUUAGCUACUGUUGUUUUCAACCGACGUUUUUAUCAAAACAAGACAACACACAGGAAGGAAACGCUGGCUAUACACAAGAACAGGAAGUACUUCAAAAGCUUCCCGACCACAUGACCACACUGAUAUUUAUCAGCAAACAUUAGUUUCCUGUGGACCAUAAGAAGAGAAGCUUGUUUACCCUGAUCUUCUCUACUCUUCACGCAUUUAAUGGAAAUCUCAGUUCUUAAAUCCACAUAAUAAGAAAUGACUGUUCCCCCAAUGAAGCGGCUACUAUUGACACUCAAAUAUUUUGCCUCUGUUGAUUUUUUCUGCCCACUGGUGACUUAAAUGGUGCUGACAAAGGGACAACCAGCAGAAUUAUUAAAAGGACACUGGACAACAUAUACAGAAGACAGUUUUGUUAAUUAUUUGUUCUCUAAUGUAAUUAAGUGAAAAUAAAAUACACACAUGUAUAUGGAACAAUAUA